UUCCUGGCAUCUCCCUGUCUUCUUGCUCCCUCUACCGAGCUCCAUCCAGGAUAGCUCUUCCACUGCUCCCUCACGCUAGCAGCAGACCACCGGCGCCCUUCUUCCACCUCCGGUCCGUAGGGACCUCCUCUGGUCCGAACGCAAGCAGGUGCCCUUCCUCCACUGCGCCCCUCCUCCCAUCGGCACAGGAGCUUCCCAUGGCCGGCGCACGCCCCUGCUCGUGCCUUCACGGCCGUCGGGGCAUCGGCUCCGAGCUCCCUCCCUGCUCCAUGGCCGCUGGCCCCUCGCCCCUGCUCUUCCCCCUUGGUCGCGCGCAGGAGCUCCCUAGGCCGACCUCGGCCAGGUCCAUGUCCAUGGCGUCGCCUCCCUCUGCCCUCCCUGUGCUGUGCGCUCUACUCGCCAGGGCCGGAGUUCUCCAUGGUCGAGCUCCUUGUCCUCCAGGCCACUGGGUUGCAGGAGGCCGCACCCUUCUUCUCCAAGACCGGCGCUUGUUUUCCCCCUGCGUCUUCUUCCAUGCACACCUGCAGGCCGCCGGACCUUGCUCCAUCUGGAUUUCGCGCCAUAUGCUCCUUCACCAAUGCCAUGGAGAGAUCUGUCAACAGAGCAAUGCUAGGCCUCGCCUUGGACCUUGGGUUCGCACCAGCGAGCUCACCUGUAGGUUCAGCCAUGGCUCCUGCAAUGUCUAGUUCCUCCCUCGCCUAGCACCACAUCGGCUCGCCUCACCUCAGCCCGACUGGGCGCCGACACCCAGCGAGCUCCUUCGCAAGCAGACUAUGGCCUAGGAUGCUGAGCUCGCCUAGAUCACUUGCUCCUGUGUUUCCCCUCAUGGCGUGCCCUGCUUAGUCCAGCAUCCAAUCCUCUCUGCUGUGGUCGAGCUCACCUUCACUAGCUCGCGACCACUAUCCCUGUGCCGCUGGAUGCCAUUCCUCUCUGUUCUGCCCUUGCCAUCCGCGCCCCAGUGUCUGGACUGCGCUCGCCGAGCUCCUCCUCACGUGCUCCUCCACCGGUCCGUGCCCCUGCACUUGCAGCAGCGGCCGUGGAUCCCCUCUGCGUCACGCCCUCGGCGUGCUCGAUGUAAUGCCAAAGCAGCAGCAGUGACGACCUUCGUUGUGUCACGCUCGCCAAGUCGGGCCUCACAUCGUCGAUCUGCGCAGCGUCUGCGCAUCAUCGUCGAAACACGCGCCCUUGUCGACGUCACGCCUCGCGCAUCGCUCGUCGGCAAAGAGCCCAAACUAAUGGCAUGCAUGCGCGACACGAGUCGGCCAGGUUGUUCGCCUUGAAUGAUUCACGAUUUGUUUUAUUUACGUAUUCGGUCGAUGAUGUGCCUGCGUGUUUAUAUGUGUGUGAAAAUAUAAUUGUAUGAAUGAAAGCGUGUAGAGAAGAAAAUGAAAUAGAAAAGAACUCGGGUAUUUUUAUUUUGAUAG